UUUUGGACGAUGGGCGCAAGCCUGAUCCAGCAAUGCCGCGUGAGUGAAGAAGGCCUUCGGGUUGUAAAGCUCUUUUGUCAGGGAAGAAACGGUGAGCUCUAAUACAGUUUGCUAAUGACGGUACCUGAAGAAUAAGCACCGGCUAACUACGUGCCAGCAGCCGCGGUAAUACGUAGGGUGCAAGUGUUAAUCGGAAUUACUGGGCGUAAAGCGUGCGCAGGCGGUUAUGUAAGUCAGAUGUGAAAUCCCCGGGCUCAACCUGGGAAUGGCAUUUGAGACUGCAUGGCUAGAGUGUGUCAGAGGGGGGUAGAAUUCCACGUGUAGCAGUGAAAUGCGUAGAGAUGUGGAGGAAUACCGAUGGCGAAGGCAGCCCCCUGGGAUAACACUGACGCUCAUCACGAA
rnacentral:rRNA from 1 species